AAAAAAAAAAAAAAUGAGAGAGAGAAGAAGAAGAAGAGGUGGGUCUUCAAGUUUGGAUUCUUCAUUUCUCCAUUGAUUUAGAGAGAGGAGCAUUGUCCAUGUUCUAUUCUACACGGAGGGGUCUUGACCUGACAUUGGUCUUGAUCGUGUACAUAUAAUUCACAGAGGGGCUUUGGCCGUGUUCUAGAAUUGAUUACCAUAAGUCUUUGAAAUCGACUUUCAUUCACAGGGAGGGCGAAAGACCCAUGAAGAAAGUUUUUAGCUCAAAGGGUGGGUUACAAAUUUUAGUCAGAGGAUACUUUUUUGUGAAUUUUUCAGCAUAUUUAAUAUGAUGAGAUUAUAGCAUGAUUACAAGCUUAUAUUUAUAUCAUGACUUGAGAUGAUAUUUUACCACAUUAUGUAAAUGUCUUACAUUUUAGCUAUAAUUAUGUGAUGUUAUCUUGUGAACUAUUCAAUGAUAUGAACUCGAUUUUCAAUAAAAAUGUAAAAUGGAAAAAGUAUACUUAUUUUCGAAAUUCUCCA